rnacentral:rRNA from 1 species
GAUAAGGAGCUUGCUCCUUUGACGUUAGCGGCGGACGGGUGAGUAACACGUGGGUAACCUACCUAUAAGACUGGGAUAACUUCGGGAAACCGGAGCUAAUACCGGAUAACAUUUGGAACCGCAUGGUUCUAAAGUGAAAGAUGGUUUUGCUAUCACUUAUAGAUGGACCCGCGCCGUAUUAGCUAGUUGGUAAGGUAACGGCUUACCAAGGCGACGAUACGUAGCCGACCUGAGAGGGUGAUCGGCCACACUGGAACUGAGACACGGUCCAGACUCCUACGGGAGGCAGCAGUAGGGAAUCUUCCGCAAUGGGCGAAAGCCUGACGGAGCAACGCCGCGUGAGUGAUGAAGGGUUUCGGCUCGUAAAACUCUGUUAUUAGGGAAGAACAAACGUGUAAGUAACUGUGCACGUCUUGACGGUACCUAAUCAGAAAGCCACGGCUAACUACGUGCCAGCAGCCGCGGUAAUACGUAGGUGGCAAGCGUUAUCCGGAAUUAUUGGGCGUAAAGCGCGCGUAGGCGGUUUCUUAAGUCUGAUGUGAAAGCCCACGGCUCAACCGUGGAGGGUCAUUGGAAACUGGGAAACUUGAGUGCAGAAGAGGAAAGUGGAAUUCCAUGUGUAGCGGUGAAAUGCGCAGAGAUAUGGAGGAACACCAGUGGCGAAGGCGACUUUCUGGUCUGUAACUGACGCUGAUGUGCGAAAGCGUGGGGAUCAAACAGGAUUAGAUACCCUGGUAGUCCACGCCGUAAACGAUGAGUGCUAAGUGUUAGGGGGUUUCCGCCCCUUAGUGCUGCAGCUAACGCAUUAAGCACUCCGCCUGGGGAGUACGACCGCAAGGUUGAAACUCAAAGGAAUUGACGGGGACCCGCACAAGCGGUGGAGCAUGUGGUUUAAUUCGAAGCAACGCGAAGAACCUUACCAAAUCUUGACAUCCUUUGAAAACUCUAGAGAUAGAGCCUUCCCCUUCGGGGGACAAAGUGACAGGUGGUGCAUGGUUGUCGUCAGCUCGUGUCGUGAGAUGUUGGGUUAAGUCCCGCAACGAGCGCAACCCUUAAGCUUAGUUGCCAUCAUUAAGUUGGGCACUCUAGGUUGACUGCCGGUGACAAACCGGAGGAAGGUGGGGAUGACGUCAAAUCAUCAUGCCCCUUAUGAUUUGGGCUACACACGUGCUACAAUGGACAAUACAAAGGGCAGCUAAACCGCGAGGUCAUGCAAAUCCCAUAAAGUUGUUCUCAGUUCGGAUUGUAGUCUGCAACUCGACUACAUGAAGCUGGAAUCGCUAGUAAUCGUAGAUCAGCAUGCUACGGUGAAUACGUUCCCGGGUCUUGUACACACCGCCCGUCACACCACGAGAGUUUGUAACACCCGAAGCCGGUGGAGUAAC